rnacentral:lncRNA from 1 species
GACAGACUGCGGCACGCCAGCGAUGGUGAUGGCCCGCUCGGUGGAGUUGGGCAGCAUAUCCCCCGCCACCUGGACCUGCGCCCCCGUACUCUCGCGGAUCUCUUUGAUCUUACACCCGCCUUUCCCAAUCAGGGAGCCGCACUGGGUGGCCGGCACCACCAGCCUCAGGGUGACCGGGGGCCUGCUGGCCGCGGUACUGUUGGUCAUGGAGCUGUUGAUAUCUUCCUCCAGCUUGUCGAUGAUCAUAGCGAAAGCCUUAAAGAUGGCAUUGGUGGGGCCGGUCAGAGUGAUGAUUCUCUCCGGACAAUUCCCCUCCGAGAUGUUGAUCCGCGCGCCACUCUCCUCGCGGAUCCUCUUAACCGACUCCCCUUUCUUCCCAAUGAUGCUUCCUACUUCCUUUCCGUGCAUAAGAAGCCGAAUGAGGAAGACAAACAUAAAGAUGAAGUGCUUAAUUCAAGGUCACACAAUGUCGGGGAUGGACCUCCAGAUUUCCUUACUGGUGAGACGUGGUCUUGUAACACAGUGGUUAAGAAUGUGACUUUGGAGCCAGCCUGCUAGGGGCUGAAUUCUGACUCAGCCAUUUACUAACUGUGUGACCUUAGGGAGGAGGACCUGGUUGAUAGAAGAAUUUAUCUCGUAGUCUUAACAUCCACUGUAAUUCCAAACUUUGAGGACGAUAGAGAUCAGUGGGCUUUGACUGCCCAGCAUGCAGUCUCCAUUCUUAGGUGGGUUCCCAAGCCUGUAAAAUGUAAGCCUUAUGCUGCUGAGGGCCAUCUUGCCACCCUGAGGGAAACGCUGCCUGAGAAUGAAACAAGCAUAAGUAAAAGCUGAGCUGUGAGAUGGAGCAAGAUGAAGGCCACAUGACAUCUUUGGAGCACCUGGAUCUAACUGUGCCUUAAGCUAGUCUAACCCUGAACAUUUCAUCAUUUCAUUGACAUGAGCCCAGGUUUUCUUUUUUUUUGGAUGGAGUCUUGCUCUGUCGCCCAGGCUGGAGUGCAGUAGCUCAAUCUCGGCUCACUGCAAGCUCCACCUCCCGGGUUCACGCCAUUCUCCUGCCUUAGCCUCCCAAGUAGCUGGGACAACAGGCGCCCACCACCACUCCCAGCUAAUUUUUUGUAUUUUUAGUAGAGACGGGGUUUUACCAUGUUAGCCGGGAUGGUCUUGAUCUCCUGACCUCAUGAUCCGCCCGCCUCGGCCUCCCAAAGUGCUGGGAUUACAGGUGUGAGCCACUGCACCCAGCCCUCAGGUUUUCCCUUUUUUUACCCCUCCUUUUGAAAAUUUGAUGUGGAAUUUUGCCACCUGCAGCCAGAAGAGUUUUAACUAAUCAGUGCCAUAAAUUUUAUAUAGUUCUCCUUGCAAAAUGUGGAUCAGCCUUUCUCAGCAAAUCCUUUGUCAUAAAGUGCUGAAUUGUAAGUUUGUCAUGAGAAUCACAUGAGAUCAUGCAUGUGAAGAACCUGGCAUUAUCCUCCUCAUAGAAAAAAACCAGUAAAUAUUAACUACAGGAAGCAAGGAAGGAGUGGGGUGAGGGGAAGAAGAAGGGGUACUGAUUUAAAAGAACCCUGGAGUCCUAAGGAUAAUCUAGGAACCCUCAGACCCAAUCCGAUACCCCUAUUCUAAAUGCUCCUAGUGCCCUGUACCUUCCCCUCAUAAGCCUUCAUUAUCAUUGUAAUGAUAUGUUUAUGUAAUAUUUUGAUUAAUGUCUCUCCUUCACUGACCUAGCAGUUCUAGCAGGGCAGUGAUUUUGCUGUGUUGCAUCCCCAGCACCUAGUCUGGUAUGUGGCAUUCAGCAUAUGUUUAUUGAAUGAAUGGCCAUGUGGUUAUUCAGAUCCUCCUUGAUUAUUGGGGUUAGGAUUGUGGCAGAAGUGGCAAAAUCAGGGAGAGUAGUCCCUGUCCCCUCUGUAUCUUAUACACUGCCCACACUCCCAACACACAUACACAUACAGAGAAUUUUGUCUCAAUUAGAUAAUUAACUUCUGCUUGGUUGUAAACCAAACCACUGGUUCUUAAACUUUCAUUGGAUCAUUUUAUUGAAGAAUUAAAUAGUGUGGUUCUGGCCUAAUGUCUGGAAAGCCUUGCAGAGGAGUGGAUUAGGUCUUUGUGAUAAACAGGCAGCCUUCCCUGCUCCUGUGUCUUUAUAAAAUCUAUUUAACUGGAGUAGUCCACCCUCCCUCAGGCUCUUACAGGAAUAUGUUGGAGGCUGUAGGAAGGUGGGAAACCGAGAGGGAAAGGACUGGGCCGCUGGAGACUUCACUCAUUCCCUAGCAAGAAACAAAAGCAGUAAAAGGUGGCCCGAGGACAACCUGAAGCUCACUCCUUCAGCACUUUUGGCUGGAGGUCACUUGUUGGAGCCCCACUCAGAGCUCAGCACACCACCCCACCAGCAGCCUCCUCCUCCCAGCUGAGGCUGCAUUUCAUCCCUUCCCCCAGCCUGCUUUCCCUGAGAUAGGGGAGUGUUUCCCAGGGCCCAUGUGACUUCCACUGGCAAGUGACGAUUACCAAUGGUUUACUAGUCAGUGAAACUACCAAAGGCUUUUGUGCUGUAGUAAUCCUUUUCCUGUUUAAAACUCUGGGGAUUUUCUAAUGUUGCCAAUAGUUUUUCAAGUCAGCAAUUACUGUGUGGAUUAUGUAAUGGCUCGGUAUUAAAAAUAGAAAAGACUGGA